rnacentral:rRNA from 1 species
UACAGAGGGUGCGAGCGUUGUUCGGAAUUACUGGGCGUAAAGCGCGCGCAGGCGGCCCUUUAAGUCUACCCGUGAAAUGCCGGAGCUCAACUCCGUGCACGCCGGGGGAUACUGGAGGGCUGGAGACGAGUAGAGGCAAGCGGAAUUCCGGGUGUAGCGGUGGAAUGCGUAGAGAUCCGGAAGAACACCAGUGGCGAAGGCGGCUCACUGGCCCGUAACUGACGCUGAGGCACGAAAGCGUGGGGAGCAAACAGGG